AACCUAGCACACCUGCGGUGUGUACCUGCGGAAGGAUCAUUACAGAGAUUGAUGCACCAAGUGCAUCACCUCCAACCCCUUGCGAAAACAACUAUCAUGUGUUGCUUUGGCAGUGUUUCCACUGCCAGAGGUUUACAUAAAAUCAGCUGUUUGGAUGUUGUCUGAGUAAACCACGUGAAUUAUUUAAAACUUUCAACAACGGAUCU
rnacentral:misc_RNA from 1 species